UACGUAGGGUCCGAGCGUUGUCCGGAAUUAUUGGGCGUAAAGGGCUCGUAGGCGGUCUGUUGCGUCGGGAGUGAAAACUUACAGCUUAACUGUGAGCGUGCUUUCGAUACGGGCAGACUUGAGGCAUUCAGGGGAGAACGGAAUUCCUGGUGUAGCGGUGAAAUGCGCAGAUAUCAGGAGGAACACCGGUGGCGAAGGCGGCUACCUGGACAGAAACUGACGCUGAGGCGCGAAAGCUAGGGGAGCAAACAGG
rnacentral:rRNA from 1 species